rnacentral:rRNA from 1 species
GACAGGCUUAACACAUGCAAGUCGAGGGGCAUCACGAAUUAGCAAUAGUUUGGUGGCGACCGGCGCACGGGUGCGUAACACGUAUACAACCUACCUUUAAUAGAGGGAUAACCUGGAGAAAUUCGGACUAAUACCUCAUAGUAAGAUAUUUAGGCAUCUGGAUAUUUUUAAAGAUUUAUCGAUUAGAGAUGGGUAUGCGUAGGAUUAGCUAGUUGGUAAGGUAACGGCUUACCAAGGCGACGAUCCUUAGGGGUUCUGAGAGGAAGGUCCCCCACACUGGUACUGAGACACGGACCAGACUCCUACGGGAGGCAGCAGUGAGGAAUAUUGGUCAAUGGGCGAGAGCCUGAACCAGCCAAGUCGCGUGAAGGAAGACAGCCUUAUGGGUUGUGAACUUCUUUUGUACAGGGGUAAAAGGUUUCUACGUGUAGGGU